rnacentral:lncRNA from 1 species
UAAGGGGUUCCAUUUGAGGAAAGCAAAUAUUGAUCCUUUGGGAUUUCUGGUAGUGAUAUAUGGAAUUUUUUUCUUAGUUAUCUCAUAUUCUCAGUAUACCUGCAAUAAUUAAGGAUAUUGUCAUAAUAGCUUUAUGUCUCUGCCUAUGAGGUAGAUCACAUGAUAGUCAGCUAAGAGAAAUAUCAUACGAGGUCAGUACUCAAUUUACCAUCUUCUCUUUUACAUGCCCUUUCGAGAUGAUUAUGCUAUACCUUUAGAUGCCAUGUCUAGAAUAUUAUGAUGGUUAUGCAUAGACACUAGUGAGCUAUUAGGAUAAGGUCUUGUGUCAUGCAUUCAGAUGGAACCUCUUCAACUUGCUUCCUUCACAUAAAUACUUGGUUCUUUCUCAUGAAGAGAGAAGAUUUUUCAAGAAUUGAAAAAAUUUAAAACUCAUAUUUUUCGUUCAUUGUGUCUCUCACACUUAAUAUUGUUUAUCAUUUGACUUGAGCAACGAAGUGUAUAAGUUGAAGCUUCAAUAUGUGCAGUUUAAUAUGGUUAUCAAAGCGUACAAGUAACACACCCGUGGAUGAGAUAGCAAAUGAAAUGAGUUGACAGUUGAAUAUCGUUGAAUUUGGAGGCCAACAAAUAGUGUCAUGUUUAAUAUCUUUGUGAUUCCAUUUCUAGUUUGGUGUAUCCAAAAGAACAGGUAAAUUAGAAGGCUAGGUGACUCGGUCGUCAAGGUCGAGGUUAAUAUACAAGAUGUCAGGCCUAGUGGUCCGUAUACUGUUUUUACGUAACACUUUUCUAGUUGUAGUUUGUUUGUGCACGCACGACCCCAUUUCCUUUGGUGGUCGGGAAUUUCUUCACCAGAUGAUUUGUAACAAAAUAGCUCAUCCUUGGUGCUUCAUUAAAGAGUGGUCGUCUAAGGAUUAGUUUGUAGGUUAUCAAAGUUUCCAAAACUCGAAAAGAAAGCGUCUUUUGUGAUUUGCAGGGGUCUGUACCCAAUGUAACAGAGCUUGAUGAUCCCUUCUCGAAUAAUUGUACCUCCUUUGAAACCUUGAAGCGGAGUUAUUGCUGACAACGUACGACUUGGUUAUACAUUGGUUGCACUAUCAUUGUCCACUAGUGUUCUUUUGAUCAAUUACAUCAUAGUAUACAAGUUUUAUACUACCACAUUGUAACACAAUUUUUUCACAAAUAAGAUCUUGACACCAAAGAUGAUAUCAAAC